ensembl:lncRNA
CGGCCUUUUCGCUUUAACUUUUGCAGCUAUUUUAUUAUUUACUCUUAUUUCUGCCUCGACCUCCCCACUCUCCUACCUAGUGAGACUCCCUACCUUAUUUUGUGAACCUUAAAAAUUCUCAGCCCCUACUCCAUAAGGUUGGGUUAAGACCAUUCCCCAUUUAAACAAUGAAGGAACUUAGAUCAGGAAUGUGAGAUCUCUACUUAGAUCAGCAAUGUGAAGACCUCUACUCCACCCCUACUUAAGCCUGCUUUAGGGAAGAAACUCCUUGCUGAACAAUGAAAGAUACUUAAACCCAUACUUAUAGUAAGGCAAAAAGUUCUUAAGCCAUGCCUAUUUUUAGAUCUAAUACAAAAGGGUGCUAAGUACCUAUAAAGGUCAGGCAACUUGUGAAUUUACAAGGAGCAAAGAAGUGAGAAACUUACUCAGAGGUUUUAGUCUACCCAGGUGUGAAUUACUCAAAAGAUUAGUCUUCUUAGGUGUGAACUAAGAAUGGGCUGUCCUUUGGAAAACGUCUACUGUGAUUGGUAGAUGAGAGAACUUAGGGGAGGUGACAUAGGAGAAAAUUCCCUUUAAAAGGAGACAAAAAGCUCUCUCUCUCUCUCUCUCUCUCUCUCUCUCUCUCUCUCUCUCUCUCUCUCUCUCUCUCUCUCUCUCUGUGUGUCUCUCUCUCUCUCUCUCUCUCUCUCUCUCUCUCUGUCUCUCUCUCUCUCUCUCUCUCUCUCUCUCUCUCUCUCUCUCUCUCUCUCUCUCUCUCUCUCGACAGUCAGCUGGGAAAGGCUGAAUUGGAGGAGGCAGCUGUUCAAAGCUGCCUUGAAGAGUCUCUCUCGGGGCUCCCUCUCAGAGAUCUUGUGGGCCAGCGUUCUAUGCUGCGGAGCUUCUUGGAUCCGAAGGAAGACCGGGAAGAAAGGGUAGAGUUUUGUCAAUGAUGAUAGAUGCAGCAUUCUGUAGCCAAGACACAGCAGCUAUCAAAAGGAGAAUGGUUCAUCAUCAGUCUUCUGGAACUCUUUGGCUGCACAUUAUCUUAGAAAGUCACAUGUGAACACCAUCUAGGAUCUAGUGCACUGUUAUUCAUUUGUUGACUCUUUCCCAAUUACAUUUUAAUCUGGUUGGGCAGGGAGUCUGCGGGGAACAUGUGGGAUGUCUGUUUGACAUCUCUGAAGUAUUCUGUGUUGGAUUUGAAGCAGUAGGACCUCUGCUCAAAUCCAGCUCCUGCCCUUUAUUGCCAGUGGGACAAGUCAUUGAACCUCUCAGGGAUUGUGUGCCCACAUCUGGAAUAGGAGGAAGUUCAGAUCCACGUCCCCCAAACACCCUCCCUUCCUGCCCGAAGUCUUUGAUCUAAGAGUGAUCGUUGCAUUCAUCUGGCGUCUUUUGGUGUUUUCCUUUCCAUCACUCUGGUCAUCAUGUGUGUUGUUUGCCGGUUCUAAUUCUUCAUAGAAAUAUGGAUUUGGAGCUGCCACUGAGGAUAGCCUUCUUGUUUUACAGGUGUGGAAAUGGAGAUUCAGAGAAAUUAGUUGACCUGGCCAAAGUCACACAGAUAGGAUGAGAUAGAUAAGAUGUCAGCUUAGAAAGAUGGUGCCAGUAGUGGUGUGUGUGUGAGGGUGAGGGUGAGGGUGAGGGUUUUAUUGCCCUUCAGUCUUAAUUUCUUGAUGUGUCCUCCAGGUAAGAAAAAGUCUU